AGUGAACGCUGGCGGUAGGCCUAACACAUGCAAGUCGAACGGCAGCACAGUAAGAGCUUGCUCUUACGGGUGGCGAGUGGCGGACGGGUGAGGAAUACAUCGGAAUCUACUUUUUCGUGGGGGAUAACGUAGGGAAACUUACGCUAAUACCGCAUACGACCUACGGGUGAAAGCAGGGGGUCUUCGGACCUUGCGCGAUUGAAUGAGCCGAUGUCGGAUUAGCUAGUUGGCGGGGUAAAGGCCCACCAAGGCGACGAUCCGUAGCUGGUCUGAGAGGAUGAUCAGCCACACUGGAACUGAGACACGGUCCAGACUCCUACGGGAGGCAGCAGUAGGGAAUAUUGGACAAUGGGCGAAAGCCUGAUCCAGCAAUACCGCGUGGGUGAAGAAGGCCUUCGGGUUGUAAAGCCCUUUUGUUGGGAAAGAAAAGCAGCAGGUUAAUCCACCGCUGUUCUGACGGUACCCAAAGAAUAAGCACCGGCUAACUUCGUG
rnacentral:rRNA from 1 species